GAUGAAGAACGUAGCGAAAUGCGAUAAGUAAUGUGAAUUGCAGAAUUCAGUGAAUCAUCGAAUCUUUGAACGCACAUUGCGCCCCUUGGUAUUCCGAGGGGCAUGCCUGUUCGAGCGUCAUAUUAACCACUCCCGCUUGCGGGGUCGUGGGUUUCGCCUCCGGGCGGGCCUUAAAAUCAGUGGCGGUGCCGUCGGGCUCUACGCGUAGUAAAUUUUCUCGCGAUAGGGUCCCGGUGGAUGCUUGCCAACAACCCCCAACUUCUUAAGGUUGACCUCGGAUCAGGUAGGGAUACCCGCUGAACUUAAGCAUAUCAAUAAGCGGAGGA
rnacentral:misc_RNA from 1 species